UACUCCUACGGGAGGCAGCAGUGAGGAAUAUUGGUCAAUGGGCGAGAGUCUGAACCAGCCAAGUAGCGUGCAGGAUGACGGCCCUAUGGGUUGUAAACUGCUUUUGUAUGGGGAUAAAGUCAAUCACGUGUGAUUGUUUGCAGGUACCAUACGAAUAAGGACCGGCUAAUUCCGUGCCAGCAGCCGCGGUAAUACGGAAGGUCCGGGCGUUAUCCGGAUUUAUUGGGUUUAAAGGGAGCGUAGGCUGGAGAUUAAGUGUGUUGUGAAAUGUAGACGCUCAACGUCUGACUUGCAGCGCAUACUGGUUUCCUUGAGUACGCACAACGUUGGCGGAAUUCGUCGUGUAGCGGUGAAAUGCUUAGAUAUGACGAAGAACUCCGAUUGCGAAGGCAGCUGACGGGAGCGCAACUGACGCUGAAGCUCGAAGGUGCGGGUAUCGAACAGGAUUAGAUACCCUGGUAGUCCGCACAGUAAACGAUGGAUGCCCGCUGUUGGUACCUGGUAUCAGCGGCUAAGCGAAAGCAUUAAGCAUCCCACCUGGGGAGUACGCCGGCAACGGUGAAACUCAAAUGAAUUGACGGA
rnacentral:rRNA from 1 species